GGUACAAAGAGAAGCCAACUCGCGAGAGCGCGACCAAUCUACAAAAAGCCAUCCUCAGUUCGGAUUGGAGUCUGCAACUCGACUCCAUGAAGUUGGAAUCGCUAGUAAUCGCGGAUCAGCAUGCCGCGGUGAAUACGUUCCCGGCCUU
rnacentral:rRNA from 1 species